AGAAUAAUCACUUCUGUCCUAAGACUGUUGUUUUAGGAAUAUCUUACCAUGAAUACCGUUUAAAAUUGUCUCACUGUGAGGAACCCCAAAUCAAAUUCCUUCGUAUGCAGGCUGGAAGAGAACAUCUGCAACGGUCAUAAAUAUGGUAUAUGACUCUGAAUUUCCAUUCAACAUAAUUUCUAAAGAUACAAUCACCCUAACUCCCUCUCUUCUCCAGGCAGAGUCCCAAGUGUCUCAUGUGAUUUUCUUGGCAUCCACUCAAGUACUGAUAAAGCUACUAGUGCCAACCUCAUCCCUACCUGCCACCCCGAAUCUGCUGCUUUUCUGCUUUGCAACUUGACCUUGACAUUGCUGCUGGAAUGUGACAUUGCUAGCACUUCCCACACUGCUAUCACUCCCUCUGUCAGUACCAGUGCUCCUUGUUGAGGUAAAGGAGGUCCUUCUUUCCACCUAUACCCUCCCCCCCCCCCAGUAUUAACAAAGAAUGCCAGGGGAAAGUUCAACCCAAUAUUUUGGGCUAACUCACA